rnacentral:rRNA from 1 species
CCUACGGGCGGCAGCAGUGAGGAAUAUUGGUCAAUGGACGCAAGUCUGAACCAGCCAUGCCGCGUGCAGGAAGACGGCUCUAUGAGUUGUAAACUGCUUUUGUACGAGGGUAAACGCAGAUACGCGUAUCUGUCUGAAAGUAUCGUACGAAUAAGGAUCGGCUAACUCCGUGCCAGCAGCCGCGGUAAUACGGAGGAUUCAAGCGUUAUCCGGAUUUAUUGGGUUUAAAGGGUGCGUAGGCGGUCGGAUAAGUUAGAGGUGAAAUCCCGAGGCUCAACUUCGGAAUUGCCUCUGAUACUGUUCGGCUAGAGAGUAGUUGCGGUAGGCGGAAUGUAUGGUGUAGCUGUGAAAUGCUUAGAGAUCAUACAGAACACCGAUUGCGAAGGCAGCUUACCAAGCUACUUCUGACGUUGAGGCACGAAAGCGUGGGGAGCAAACAGGAUUAGAUACCCGUGUAGUC